UACGUAGGGACCAAGCGUUGUUCGGAUUUACUGGGCGUAAAGCGCACGUAGGCGGAUCGAUCAGUCAGGGGGUGAAAUCCCAGAGCUCAACUCUGGAACUGCCUUUGAUACUGUCGAUCUGGAGUAUGGAAGAGGUGAGUGGAAUUCCGAGUGUAGAGGUGAAAUUCGUAGAUAUUCGGAGGAACACCAGUGGCGAAGGCGGCUCACUGGUCCAUUACUGACGCUGAGGUGCGAAAGCGUGGGGAGCAAACAGG
rnacentral:rRNA from 1 species